GAAUUUAAUAAAAUAAUUUAAAUAAACUUAUUUAAAUUAUUUUAUUUAAUUGGGAGGAUUUUUAAAUUUAUAUAACUUUAAAUAAUAAUUAAACAUUAAUUUAUGAAAUUUAUUAAAUAAAUAAAUAUUAUUUAAAUAAAAAUUAAUUACCUUAGGGAUAACAGCAUAAAAUUUUUUUUUAGAUCUUAUAUAUAAAAAUAUUUGU
rnacentral:rRNA from 1 species